AAAACUACACUGCGGUUUAUAUUAAAACCGUUAAUACAUAUUUAAUAUACCAGAUUAUUCUAUUUCAGUAAAGUCGAAAAGGAGAUUUUAUGACGCGACGACAGCGGAGCUAUUGCGAUCACCGUCACUCACUCUCGUCGACGUUUUGGUGGAUGCCAGGUGAUUUCAUAAGCAAGAGAAGUUGAAACAGCGGGCUUUCGUGCAUUACAAAUCAUCGGCUCGGGUUACUUGAAGAAUCAGAGAAGAACCGAAGCAGUAUGUCAUAAGCGCCUCUAUCUCAACAAUCUACCAUGACAUUAUCAUCCAAUAGAGAGAUCGUAAUUAAGGGAACCAAGAGUUACAGAAACUAGUCAACUUCUUUCUUACAUCAGAUUCAUAAACAAUCUAACUGGAUCUACUUGCUUGCCCUUAGCUGGACCAAGUAUCUUGACAAACCACUUCGGCUUGAAUGAAGCAAUAACGUGUGCCAUUACCAAUCCAAGUAACAGUCCAGGCCAAUACCCGAAAAACACUGCUUUCCACUCAAUCACUUCGUCCUCUUCUUCUUCUUCGUCUUCUUCCUUGGGAUAUUUUGUUGGUGGCGCAACGCAACUUCCUUGGAGAGGAAGACCACAGAGACCUACAUUCCCUUCAAAUGAUGAUUCAGCUUGCCCACUAAACUGUGGUCCCUGUGGUAUUUCACCUUUGAGUUGGUUAUGAGCUACACUUAUGUACGCCAGAAAUGAGAGGCUCCCGAGUUCUCUUGGAAUAUUCCCUGAUAGUUGAUUUCUUGACAGGUCUAGUGACUCGAGCUCCGUAACAUUUGCCAAAGACAUAGGAAUAUGGCCAGUGAAGGCGUUGUUCGAUAAGUUGAGCGCUAUCAAUUCCUUCAACAGACCAAUAGACUCAGGAAUCUGUCCUUCAAGUUUGUUUCCAGAGAAAUCAAUGGUGCUGUAGAAACUCGGGAAACGCGAGAGGACCUCGAUCAGGAGGAGAGAGAUGGCCGAAGAAUCUGUUUGAACGGAGAGUCAAGACAUGCAAAUUGGGUAGCGCCUUCAGCCAGAAAGGAAACGUGUCUUCAAUUCUGUUGUUGUCAACACUCAGAAACCUCAGAGAGGAGCAAUUCAAAAGUGAUUUUGGAAGCUUCCCGGUUAGUCGAUUAUAGCCAACGUCAAGCGUCUGUGUCUUAGCACCGCUAUGGAACUCGUCAGGAUAGAUCAAGGACGAUGAGAGAGCUUCGGUUGCAGAUUGAGAGAGGUAUGUUCCCUGUGAAACUAUUGUUCCACGCAGACAAGUAGAUCGAACCGAGUGGUGGAGUAGGAAACGCUCCUGUCAUGGAGUUAUAGGCAAAAUCUAGUAACUGCACUGAUGAGUUAAGUAAAACUUCUGAAGAACCUUCGAAACCAGUCAAAGAAUUGUUAACAAGAUUUGCUAUGCUAAGACGAGGAAGCUUCCAAAACCACUCAGGUACUUUCCCUUUGAUUAGAUUGUUGGAAAUGUCUAUAUGCUCCAAGUUUUGAAGGGUCUUAAAGAUGUUUGGAAACUCGAUAAUGUCGCACUGGAUCAAAAUCAAGCUUAUUAAGCUCAAUGGAAACUCUGAAUCUGAACUUAAACUGGCUGGUAAUAACCUAUUUUGACGAAUAUCAAAGACCAACAAAGAUUUGAGAGGAGCGAAGACGCGUAAGUCAAUUGGGUGACUUAUGUUUAGGGAAGCAAGUUCAAGAUGGUUGAGGUUUAUGAGCUUUGAGAUAGGCUCUAUGAUUUUUCCUUCAAAUUGGUUAAACCCAAGGGACAAACGAACUAGCUUAGAUGAAGAAGAAGAGUUUGGGACAUCAAUAGAACCAGUGAGAUGAUUCUUUUUCAGAUCAAGAUAAGACAAGAAAGGCAAAGUGGGUAGUAAAUCAAAAGGUAUGGCUCCUGAGAAUUGAUUGUAAGAAAGGUCUAAAAAGGAAAGCUUUGUUAGGUUUCUUACAGGUGGGAAACUACCAGUGAGCUCAUUAUGGGAAAGGUUUAAAUGGGUAAGCAAGAUAAGGUUACUAAUUGAGGAAGGAACUUGACCAGUAAAGCUACUAGAGGCAAGAGACAAAACCUCUAAUCUGGUGAGAUUGCUGAAUUCAGAAGGGAGUGAAGAGGAAGUGAAGUUGUUGUGAGAGAGAUUAAGGUAACGAAGCUGAUGCAACUCAAAGAGACUACUGUUUGGUUUGAGAGUUCCAGUGAAGCAACCACUUGGGAGCUGAAGCUUCGUGACCGCACCAGUCGUGUUAUCACACUGGACUCCGUUUAAGUAGUCACUGCGGUUGCAGCCGUCAGAUUCAAACUCAUUCUUGAAUUGGAUUAGAGCUUGGAUCUGGUCAGGAAGACAAGCAAGAGCGUCGGUCGUCAAGAAGCUUGAAACGAAGACGAUACAGUAGAGUAAGAGUAGCGAGCAAAAAUGCAAACGCAUGGUGUUUGUGAUUGAACCAACAAGUUGAGGAAAUUAUUGAACCCAAAAAAAGACAUAUCAAAGAUUUGCUAUAUAUAUGUUAUUUUAAGCCGCCUUUACUAAAUAUGUGGGGUUUAAAUGUCACGUGAAAUGUCUACGAGUCACAUUUGUUCAUGAAGUAAAUUCCACGUGGACAUCUCUG
rnacentral:lncRNA from 1 species